GUUCCUUGGAAGGAUGGUUGCAGGAAAGAAUCUUAAAGGUCCUCGCCUGCUCUUCUACUGUACUUGCAAUUAUUUAAUUAGAGGAUAUACCUCCAUUAGCAGAAAGAAGAUUAUCAGUAUGUUUCCAGAAUUACAUAUAGAAAUGGAUUUUUUUUUGCAAGUCCUUAAUAUUAUGUCAGCUUGUUAUAUCAUUAGUGCAUUUUCAAGUUAAUUUAUGAAGUCAAUCUGCAGCAAUUUCAACCUACUUUAUUUUCAAUCUACUUCGGUGUAAAUCUACCUUAUUUUCAACCUACUGCGAAUCAAUAUACUUACUAAAUUGGACCCACAGCGUGGACGAGUCUUCUAGAUCCCAGAACUUUCUAAGUAAGAACCAUAAAUGCAAUCUGAGCUAUGACGAGUAAUAAUCGUUACAAUGGAAUUUGUAUAGGUUUUACAUCUUAUUUAGAAUCAGUACAUCAUGGAAAAUUAUCAAGAAUUGUAUGGAGGAAUUAAGUAAAAAAUUAUCAUUACUUUCCAAGUAAAUUUACUAUAAUUUCAAUCAACUUCGUUUCUAUUACUUUUCGAUGUCAAUCUAUCACAUUCGGGAUCUAUUAUGGAUCGAUCAAUUUCCUUCAUUAUCAACUUACAACGCGAAAAUGUAUUUAAGAGCCACUGUAGAACAUCUUAAGUGAACACGAGAACACAGCAGAAGUGAUUAAACAAAAGUCAAUUCAAUCGUAUUUCGAAACUAAAACGUGUCAUUGAAUACAACAAAGGAAUAAUUGGAAAAUAUACGAAAUCAUAUUAAGAAGUUUUCUUUUAUGUAUUUGAUAUUGCACUUUUUAAUUCACAUAGUUUGUUCGACAAAAUAAAUAAUAGAAAAAAACAGAAUUACGCUGAUUAUAGAAUUGAUAUGGCCAAUCAUUACUGAAAAAUGUACCGUUACCAGAAUAUAAAGGACGAGGACGAUUAUUAAUCGGAGAUUUACCACAGAGAUCGCACGCGAAACGUUUGGAUUAUUUUCCCAAGUAUAUUGACCCAACACCAUCAAAAUCAAAGCCAUCAAGAGCCUAUAAAAUUGAUUCGAUAAAAAUAAAAAUAAAAAAUAAAAAAAAAAGUGAGUGCAAAAGACACAAAAUUACAUUACAAAUACCAAUGUGCUUAUCGAAAGAUACCAUACGAUCGAAGAUUAUUAAUUUUCUAUAAACUUUGUCCAAACGUUAAUAAUUUAAAAUAAAGAAUU